UUGGUUCUGUUGUUGAUUUGUGUGAUAUGUGUAGUAUCUGUUAACAUACCCUUUUUGCAGAAAUUUCACCAUUUUUCGUUGAUUACUUUUAUAUUAGUUCUGAGGAAAAUUAACUGGUUACCUUCAUUUUCUUAAUAUAGGAGAGGGCCUGCUGUUUGGGAGAUGUCAUUCAUGGUACUAAUGCUACUGGCUCGAUAGACCUGACAUCAAUAUACUUCGUUUGAUGGGAUUAGAGGCUUCAGACCUUAGAGAGGCCAUGGAUCUUCUCCCAGUACUAGGUAGAAACAUGGAUUCCGGGAAAGCCGAGUACAUCAGCAUUUUACCACACUAAGUCAGGAUUGUUCAAAAUCCAUGGUGAUUUUGCUAUGACCCUACCUCCAGUUGUAUUCCUGAUCAUGCCUAUUUUUCUAUCUCCGUGCAUUAUUAUCCGCUAGAUUAAACAACUUGUGUAUGCUGAGCUGAGAGGAAUUAUGCCUGGUUGAGCUGGCAGUAAUUCGUGCAGAUUUUACCACCACCGUGUAGCUUAGGGGCGGCACCAUGUCUUCACCUGCGGGGACCUGGCUGAAAGUGAUGGAGAGGAUAAUAAUUAUGUUUGAAGGCGUUGCCAUCUGUCCAUAAGGCCAUGGGAAAAUUGAGCAGCAGGGCCUGCAUCUGGAGGAGAAAGAGAAUAUGCCAGCGAACAUUGAGCGUGCUGGUGGCGACUCGAGCGAUGCAGGGCGACAGUGAGCGCCGGUGAGCGCAGGGUGUACUGCAGCAGUCUGGAUAGACAGCGGGAGCAGACUAC